UGAAAAAGUGUAUUUUGCAUAAUAUGUGACCUUUAAGGCACUGGAAAAGCUACUUUUUGUUUUAUGGCGAACAAAAAAUGACCACAAAUAUGUUUUUUGAUGUGACUUGACAACAAUGAGCAGAACGUUCAUUUUUCAUGUUCACAUCGCACUUGUGGGAAUUUAAUAAAAGGUCUAAGACAGUGAUGUUUAUCUUUCCAUACAAAAGUAAUAGUUAUUACAAAUGUAGUCAUUAUUACAUUUGCAGGAGGCAACUGCUAUUAAGUUUGUGGGAUUAUUACAUUAAAAGCUGCAGAUUUUUAUCACAUAUGUUGUUUAUAACAUUUAUGGGCAGUUAUUAAGUUUGUGGGUGUUACACCAACCCAAAAAGAGGAGGAGUUUAUUGUUUGGAGGGUGCUCCUUGUUUCACUUCCUCUGUUACACCAACCCACCAACUUUAGAGAGUAAAGUCAUUAAAUGUGAUUUAAUGACUUUACUCCCUGAAGUUCGAGCCCAAAGCCGCAGAGUUCAGAGGUCAGAACUGAAAACACAUGGUAGUUUUUGUUUUUUAAAAUAGUUUGAAGCAAAAAACAAAAUCAUGUUUGAAAGCGCUGCUCUCAGUGUUUUCUACUCUACUGCUAAUACUUCAGGUCUUGUUUUCACCUAAACUGACUGCUUUCAACAAUAAUGGAAAAAUAAACAGUUAAAUCUCUGUUUUAAAGAGCUUAAUCAAAUUCAUCUGAAAUAGCUCUGUUUGGGUACAGCCACUAAAAAUGUCCUUUUCUCCGCCAUUUCUUAAAAUAAAAGCAUAAAAAAAGACAAGUGGCAACCUUCGGUCCUGAAAAAUGAAGCCAAUGCGGAAGUGCAAAAAAUUGCAAUACAGCAACACCGAAGUCCCGUCUAAACACCUGUUAAACAGCCAGUUUUUACACUAGAAAUAAACCGAUUUACAGCCUGGUUCAAAUAACCAAACGCGUCUCAUUAGCUAGUGUCUUCAUGUGCUUUCACUGUACGGGGGGUGAAUUUUUUUUGUACCACAAUCGUUUCAAUUAUAUUGAGGAAAAACCUCACUGCACACCGAUUGGUGCGCCUCAUCUGAUUGACAGAUAGCUUGACAGGCAGAGGCUCUGUUUCUGUCAACCAGAAUGUUAGCUAGCUAGCUGACAGGAAGUUGAGGUUAGGCCGCUAGGUUGUGCCCCUGUGUUCUUGUUUCUGGUUUCCUUAUCUUUCUAUCUUUCUAUCAUCUUAUCCUCUGUAUAAAGGCAUUAAAAAGCCCCCACAUAAAUGUAAAAAAAAAAAAAAUUCAUACAAACAUCAUUACUGCUCUUAAACAGCUGAAUAAUGCUGACAUAAAGCUGGUAAGGAGGCUUUAUUUGGGACUAUUUUCUGCAGUGGAUAAAUCUAUGUUUUCUGGGAGUGUUUCCCGUGCCAGGAUGGUUUGAUUGAGUCAAAAUAAACUGUGUAAUCAUGGUGAUGAAGGAAAAUAUCUUCCGGUGCAGCAGAGUGACUCACAGAUGUGUUUUAAAUCGUGUUU